AUUGGAAUCCAUUUUAAUUGUUGCACAUGGAUUUCCAGCUGCACAAAAAUAUAUAUACUUGUGAUUGGCAAAGUGGCACUAAAAAGCUUUUUUGCCUUUUGUACAGGUGAGAUUUUGUAUAUAGUGUUUGCUGCAAGGCCUGUGGAAUUCAUUGAAUAUAGAGGUAUCAACUGCUGCAUGUUCAGGCAUACUAUUAAAAUGUUAGUCUAUGAAAGAAUAAUUAUAAUAAUGUCCAUGUGCAAUACUCUUGUAUGUGUAUUGGUUCAAGUUACUGUCAGAGAGAUGAGGUUUUUGUUAUAAAAAGAUGUAGACAUAUAUUAAGCUAUACUAAAUCUCCUGUAUAGUUCUCUUCAACUCUAUUAUGAUAUGAUAGAGCUAGGAAAGAGAAGGAAUGUUACAAAUUGUGGUGGACAAAGUAUGAAUCAUUGGCUUUAAGAGAUAACCUUGGUCUCAAGCAGAUGAAUUAGUUUGUGUCAGUUUUACGUCUGGCUGCUCAUAGCCUGUUACUGAUGACAACAUUCAGUUCCAUUUCGUUUUGUUUUUAAAACUCAGGUGUAAUUAUUAUAUAUAUUCUUAUGAUGAUUUUGAAAUAUUAAAUAUUAUGAUAUAUCAAUUAAUGUGUUGUCUAGCCUACAGGUGUAAUAAUGGAUCAAGCCUUUAGUUUAAUUUAAUUUAUCUUCAGUGAUCUUUUGUACUGGGAAAAGACUAGCUUCUGGAGCUGAGUACCAGCACAGAAACAUCUUAAUGAUUUCAUCAUCUCAAUGUUUAAAUUUCUUUCUCUUUUAGAAAUAUAUUGUAGAACUGCCCAUCAAUUCAUGUCUCACUGCUGGCUCUGUUUAUUUCUCAUCACAGUUAGCUUUUGACAUCCAGGCAAGAACUGAUCACAAUGCUGAAGUGUUCCUUUCCAUAGUCUUCAUGAGUAUUUCCUAAUGAGGAAGAAACAAAGAUGAAGGAUGAAUAUUUUUCCCGUUACGUGUUGUACAAAGUACCAUGAGCUUGUCUUUUAGGAGUGGACAUUUGGCAAAGGGAGGAUUUGCUAAGAGAUUCAUCUGUGAAGAACUAAACGCUCCAAGAAAAACACAGGUAACAGUGAGUGAACCAUUUAUCUUGGGCAAUAUAAUAUUUGCU
ensembl:lncRNA